rnacentral:piRNA from 1 species
UGAUGUGUCUUUCGUGUUCUGAAUGGUA